GGGUUGUGAGGUUAAGCGACUAAGCGUACACGGUGGAUGCCCUGGCAGUCAGAGGCGAUGAAGGGCGUGCUAAUCUGCGAUAAGCGCCGGUAAGGUGAUAUGAACCGUUAUAACCGGCGAUACCCGAAUGGGGAAACCCAGUGUGACUCGUCACACUAUCAUUAACUGAAUCCAUAGGUUAAUGAGGCGAACCGGGGGAACUGAAACAUCUAAGUACCCCGAGGAAAAGAAAUCAACCGAGAUUCCCCCAGUAGCGGCGAGCGAACGGGGAGGAGCCCAGAGCCUGAAUCAGCAUGUGUGUUAGUGGAAGCGUCUGGAAAGGCGCGCGAUACAGGGUGACAGCCCCGUACACAAAAGCGCAUGUGCUGUGAGCUCGAUGAGUAGGGCGGGACACGUGGUAUCCUGUCUGAAUAUGGGGGGACCAUCCUCCAAGGCUAAAUACUCCUGACUGACCGAUAGUGAACCAGUACCGUGAGGGAAAGGCGAAAAGAACCCCGGCGAGGGGAGUGAAAAAGAACCUGAAACCGUGUACGUACAAGCAGUGGGAGCACCCUUUGGGUGUGACUGCGUACCUUUUGUAUAAUGGGUCAGCGACUUAUAUUCUGUAGCAAGGUUAACCGAAUAGGGGAGCCGGAGGGAAACCGAGUCUUAAUUGGGCGUUAAGUUGCAGGGUAUAGACCCGAAACCCGGUGAUCUAGCCAUGGGCAGGUUGAAGGUUGGGUAACACUAACUGGAGGACCGAACCGACUAAUGUUGAAAAAUUAGCGGAUGACCUGUGGCUGGGGGUGAAAGGCCAAUCAAACCGGGAGAUAGCUGGUUCUCCCCGAAAGCUAUUUAGGUAGCGCCUCGUGAAUUCAUCUCCGGGGGUAGAGCACUGUUUCGGCUAGGGGGCCAUCCCGGCUUACCAACCCGAUGCAAACUGCGAAUACCGGAGAAUGUUAUCACGGGAGACACACGGCGGGUGCUAACGUCCGUCGUGAAGAGGGAAACAACCCAGACCGCCAGCUAAGGUCCCAAAGUCAUGGUUAAGUGGGAAACGAUGUGGGAAGGCCCAGACAGCCAGGAUGUUGGCUUAGAAGCAGCCAUCAUUUAAAGAAAGCGUAAUAGCUCACUGGUCGAGUCGGCCUGCGCGGAAGAUGUAACGGGGCUAAACCAUGCACCGAAGCUGCGGCAGCGACGCUUAUGCGUUGUUGGGUAGGGGAGCGUUCUGUAAGCCUGCGAAGGUGGCCUGUGAGGGUUGCUGGAGGUAUCAGAAGUGCGAAUGCUGACAUAAGUAACGAUAAAGCGGGUGAAAAGCCCGCUCGCCGGAAGACCAAGGGUUCCUGUCCAACGUUAAUCGGGGCAGGGUGAGUCGACCCCUAAGGCGAGGCCGAAAGGCGUAGUCGAUGGGAAACGGGUUAAUAUUCCCGUACUUGGUGUUACUGCGAAGGGGGGACGGAGAAGGCUAUGUUGGCCGGGCGACGGUUGUCCCGGUUUAAGCGUGUAGGCUGGUUUUCCAGGCAAAUCCGGAAAAUCAAGGCUGAGGCGUGAUGACGAGGCACUACGGUGCUGAAGCAACAAAUGCCCUGCUUCCAGGAAAAGCCUCUAAGCAUCAGGUAACAUCAAAUCGUACCCCAAACCGACACAGGUGGUCAGGUAGAGAAUACCAAGGCGCUUGAGAGAACUCGGGUGAAGGAACUAGGCAAAAUGGUGCCGUAACUUCGGGAGAAGGCACGCUGACACGUAGGUGAAGUGAUUUACUCACGGAGCUGAAGUCAGUCGAAGAUACCAGCUGGCUGCAACUGUUUAUUAAAAACACAGCACUGUGCAAACACGAAAGUGGACGUAUACGGUGUGACGCCUGCCCGGUGCCGGAAGGUUAAUUGAUGGGGUCAGCGCAAGCGAAGCUCCUGAUCGAAGCCCCGGUAAACGGCGGCCGUAACUAUAACGGUCCUAAGGUAGCGAAAUUCCUUGUCGGGUAAGUUCCGACCUGCACGAAUGGCGUAAUGAUGGCCAGGCUGUCUCCACCCGAGACUCAGUGAAAUUGAACUCGCUGUGAAGAUGCAGUGUACCCGCGGCAAGACGGAAAGACCCCGUGAACCUUUACUAUAGCUUGACACUGAACAUUGAGCCUUGAUGUGUAGGAUAGGUGGGAGGCUUUGAAGUGUGGACGCCAGUCUGCAUGGAGCCGACCUUGAAAUACCACCCUUUAAUGUUUGAUGUUCUAACGUGGACCCGUUACCCGGGUUGCGGACAGUGUCUGGUGGGUAGUUUGACUGGGGCGGUCUCCUCCUAAAGAGUAACGGAGGAGCACGAAGGUUGGCUAAUCCUGGUCGGACAUCAGGAGGUUAGUGCAAUGGCAUAAGCCAGCUUGACUGCGAGCGUGACGGCGCGAGCAGGUGCGAAAGCAGGUCAUAGUGAUCCGGUGGUUCUGAAUGGAAGGGCCAUCGCUCAACGGAUAAAAGGUACUCCGGGGAUAACAGGCUGAUACCGCCCAAGAGUUCAUAUCGACGGCGGUGUUUGGCACCUCGAUGUCGGCUCAUCACAUCCUGGGGCUGAAGUAGGUCCCAAGGGUAUGGCUGUUCGCCAUUUAAAGUGGUACGCGAGCUGGGUUUAGAACGUCGUGAGACAGUUCGGUCCCUAUCUGCCGUGGGCGCUGGAGAACUGAGGGGGGCUGCUCCUAGUACGAGAGGACCGGAGUGGACGCAUCACUGGUGUUCGGGUUGUCAUGCCAAUGGCACUGCCCGGUAGCUAAAUGCGGAAGAGAUAAGUGCUGAAAGCAUCUAAGCACGAAACUUGCCCCGAG
rnacentral:rRNA from 2 species